rnacentral:lncRNA from 1 species
CCUGUGCGGGAGAGCGGGGCCGGGCCGGCUGCCCGCUCCGUGGGGCGGCGGGUGCCGAAGGGGCCGUCGGUGCGGGGCGGCGGCCGGGCGGGAGCGGGCGGGCGGUUGUUGUCGACAUGGACUUUGAUGGUGGUUUCGGCUCUUUGCGGUUCAGGCAGCGGAAUCCGGGGGACGCGGCGUUGGUGGGACGGGGGUGCGAUCCUGCCGGGCGGCUGCGGAGGAAGGAGCAUCCUUCUCCGGGAGUUCCUCCCGGGUGGCCGGAGGCGCGCCGCUGGGAUCGCCUUUGGGAGAUGCUCUGGGCACCGAACCCCCCCAUCCCUCACGGCGCUGAGUCCCGGUCGUGAAGAGGUCUGGGCUGGACUGGGGACAAGUGGGACAACUUGCCAAAAGCAGGUACAGUUUGUGGUUAGAAAUGCACUCACCUUGGCAGGAAGCACUUAGCCAGGCUGGCACAGAGGCUGCGUAGUCCUCUCAUGCAAG